UACAGAGGUCUCAAGCGUUGUUCGGAUUCAUUGGGCGUAAAGCGUGCGCAGGCGGUUUUGUAAGCCAGAUGUGAAAUCCCCGGGCUUAACCUGGGAAUGGCAUUUGGGACUGCAAGGCUUGAGUGCGGCAGAGGAGACUGGAAUUCCUGGUGUAGCAGUGAAAUGCGUAGAUAUCAGGAGGAACACCGGUGGCGAAGGCGGUUCUCUGGGCCUUACCUGACGCUGAGGAGCGAAAGCGUGGGGAGCGAACAGG
rnacentral:rRNA from 1 species